AUCUCAUUACUUCAAGUGAAAAUAUUUCAAGAACUAAGCAAGAUAUGAAAAAUGGGUAAAAGAAGUUAAAUAUAGUUCCAAAAGUUCUUUCAAAUAAGAAAAUGAAAAAUUAUAUUGCCAUUUCCCGUUAAGUCUUAAGGGUCAUUAUUUAUGGCAGGGGUUAAUGGCACUGAAGAGAAAUGGUUUUCGUGGUAAAUAUUUUCCUGACUCAACCAUUAAAAAGUCAAAAAAAUUUUACCCAACUUCAAAUAUCAAUUAAAAAAUAAAUACUCAUUCAGUUGUCACACAUGUCCUUUACCACUUCUGUGAGACGAAUUUUCUGCAG